rnacentral:rRNA from 1 species
GACGAACGCUGGCGGCGUGCCUAAUACAUGCAAGUCGAGCGAACCUCUUCGGAGGUUAGCGGCGGACGGGUGAGUAACACGUGGGCAACCUACCUUGUAGAUGGGGAUAACGUCGAGAAAUCGGUGCUAAUACCGAAUAACACUUUUCUCCACAUGGAGAAAAGUUAAAAGUUGGCUUUUGCUAACGCUACAAGAUGGGCCCGCGGCGCAUUAGCUAGUUGGUGAGGUAACGGCUCACCAAGGCGACGAUGCGUAGCCGACCUGAGAGGGUGAUCGGCCACACUGGGACUGAGACACGGCCCAGACUCCUACGGGAGGCAGCAGUAGGGAAUCUUCCGCAAUGGACGAAAGUCUGACGGAGCAACGCCGCGUGAGUGAUGAAGGCCUUCGGGUCGUAAAACUCUGUUGUUAGGGAAGAACAAGUGCUAGUUAAAUAAGCUGGCACCUUGACGGUACCUAACCAGAAAGCCACGGCUAACUACGUGCCAGCCGCCGCUGUAACAC